rnacentral:lncRNA from 1 species
AAUGAAGUAAGUUUUAGUAUCUGCGACGCUUGUUAGGUCCUUCAAAGUUGCCCCCUGGGUUUCCUCUACCAAAGCCACCAGGUCCACCACUCACGGUACCUACGCCACUCAUUGGCGGCUGAGGAGUUUCGGAGCCCGUUCUACUAACCAGAGGUGAGCCCAUCUGUGAUGGACCUCCUUGAGGGAAUCUCUCAUUAUGCACUGUUCCAUUAUCUGGCAUCAUUGGUGUUCCCAUAUUUGCAGCUCCUUCUGGUCCCAUGGAAGGACCAGGACCCAUUGCAGGGCCAGGCAAAGUUCCUCUGUUGUUCAUAUUCAUACCCAUCAUUGGAGGAGGGCCUUGGUUACCAGCAGGUGCUGGGCUAAACGCAUCUCCCAUGUUAAUUGCUCCACGAGGACCCAUAUCACCCAUUCUCAUUUCCUGUUCUCUAUUGUCCAUGAAAUUUGGCUUAAAUCCUCCCUCCUGCUGCCGUCUCAAUUCCUCCUGUUCCCUCUGGCGUAGCAUCUCCUCUUCACGGCGUCUAUGCUCUUCUUCAUGUCUCAACUGUAUCUGCUUGCGUUUCUGAAGUUCUUGAUUCCGAAGUUCUUCCAAACGUCUCAAUUCUUCCUGACGUCGCAUGAGAUCUUGCCUCAUCAACAUUAGCUGAUGCUCAUGUCUAGCUGCUUCCAUUUCUGCCUCUAGUUUCUCUUUGGCUUCUCUAAUGUUCCUGUCAACCUGUUCACGCUGUUGCUUUUCCAUCUCAUCAAGAGCCUUCCAACGUGAAGCAUACUCAAACUCAAAUGUUCCAGGUUGAGCAAAACGUGGAGGCUGUUCUCUUUCCUUGUGAUACUGUUGUGUUUUUUGCAUUAGCUUCUCUGGGAGCCCAUCUUCAUCAUCAAAUUGCUCCAUUGGCUCUACAACAACAGGUCGAGGUGUUGUUGUUAGCAAGAAUGCACCAUCACUGCAUCUUUCUAGAGCUUUCCGUGCUGGAGGUUUUGCUGCAAACUCUACGAACCCUUUUCCCGUAGCUCUGCCACGAUCAUCUACCACAACUACAGCUCUUUCCACCGGUCCAAACUGAGAGAAUGCUUGUUCCAGCAGCUCGUUCGAAACCACAGGUGAAAGAUUCUUGACCGUUAGGGCAGCUCCAUGAGUAGCGAAUCGAAUUCGAAGUGGUCUGCUCUUCAAAAUAGUACCAUCAAGUUCUGCUUUUGCUAUUUCGGCCAGUGUCCUAGAUUCCAGGCGGAUGAAGCCGAAGCCGCGGUCCCGGUUGAUGAAGACCUCGCUGGGCUCCCCGUAGCGCUCGAAGAGGCGCUUGAAAUCUUCCUCGGUGAUGUCGGUGGGCAGAUUGCCCACGAACAGGCGGCAGCGCUGAGUGUAGCUCUUCUCGCCGGGUUUGAGAAAGCUUUUGAUGUCGAUGGUGAACCCACCCUCCUGCUCCUCAUCCCCACCCUCCUUGCCCGGCACCAACGCCAUGGCCGCCGCCUCGUUCUCCGUCUCUAGGCCCCGCAGCCCCUUCAGGCCGCCGCCGCCGCCCACCAUCCCCAGCGGCGCCGCCGGGGAGCUGUUCUCGAUCCGCACUUGCUUCAAGUUCCGAUUCGCCGCCAUGUUCGGCCCUCGCUCCCUUCUCCCUGGUUUUCUCGGGGGACGCGGAGCCGCGCUCGGCAGCCACCGCCUCCGACCCGCAGCCAAUUCAAAAUGGCGCCGCGGCCGCCCUCGGCGAGUUGUAACGUCCCCGCGGACGGCCCCGCCCACCGGCGGCCGCGCUCCCUCGCCGGCCGCCGCGCCUGCGCACUGCGCUCCCCGCGGCUCUUCGCAAGGAACGGGGAGCGGGCUGCGCACGCGUCGUACCGCGGGAGAACGGUCUUCGCAUCUUCAGAGCCCUGGGGCUCAGCCCAGCCAGGAGCUUCCCCGCCGCUUUCAGCCAGCGCGGCUCCCUCGGCCCUUACCCACCCGCCGCGAAUCCGACCGUGCUCGGCGGAGCGCCGGUCUGAGGCGCGUUCCGAUCGCGCGCGCUCCGCUGCGGUCCGUACCGAGGCGGGGGAACGCCCUGCCGGGGUCUGCGCCGAAUGGGGGGCGGCGGCCUGGCGGGACCCGCGCUCGGCGCUGAGGAGACUGCAGGGAACGGCGCAGGGAGAGGAAGAGCCGAGCGCUGUGGAGCGGCUCUGGAGACAGAGGGAGGGCCUGCGGGCUGCAGGAACGCGCCCACUGUUGGGUGCGGGAGGCACGGCUGCGGGGGCAGGCCUUGCUGCGCGGGAUGCCGGCCCAGCGCUGUCCUGCGCGGCAGCUGCCGCGGUGUGAGGGGGCGGCUUUCUUUCAGACAAAGCGCUGUGCUCUGCCUGGGGCCUCGGAGGCAUCUGGUAAAAGAAGUUGUUCUUGCUUCCAAUUCCCAUUGUAGCCUGAGCGAGACCUCGGGAGAAAAAAGCUAUUUUUUAUUUACACAGCUAUAGCAAUUAAAACAAAAAAAAACCUCUAGAGAAUAUUCUGUGGUUAGUAUUUACUUUGCUAAUCUAUGACGUGGGCUGUUCUUUUUCAAAGCAACAAUAAGCAUGAUAUUGAAGAAGUUAGCUCCACAACAGGCAUGAACUUUUUGCUGAGCAAUUUCAUAGGAUCAGAAUAUCCUGUGUUGGAAGGGACCUGUAACGAUCAUCGAGUCCAACUCCUGGCUCCACGCAGCACCAGCCAAGAAUCAGACCAUAUGUCUGAGGGCAUUGUCCAGAGGGAGGUGGCAUUGUUCAGUCUGGAGAAGAGGAAGCUUAGGGGAGACCUUAUCACUCUCUGUAAUUACCAGAAGGGAGGUUGUAGUGAACUGGGGGUCGGCCUCUUAUCUUGUGUGAUAGGACCAGAGGGAAUGGCCUCGAGUUGCACCAGGGGAGACUCAGGCUGGACAUUAGGAAAUACUUCUUUUCCGAAAGAGUGUCAGGCACUGGAAUGGGCUGCCCAGGGAGGUGAUGGAGUCACCAACCCUGGAGGUGUUCAAGGAACAUUUAGAUGUUAUGUUGAGGGAUGUGAUUUAGUGAGAGCUAUUGGUGCUGGGUGGAUGGUUGGACUGGAUGAUCUUGUAGGUCUUUUCCAACCUUGGCAAUUCUAUGAUCCUAUGAGCUCCAGCAGCUUGGGGCCAUGCCCUCUGUGCUGAGGAGCUUCUUCCAGAGCCUAGCUACCCUCUGGUGAAGAACCUUUUCCUGAUAUCCAGCCUGAGCCUUUGUUGUCACAACCUCAUGCCAUUUCUGUGGGUUCUAUUGCUGGCCACAAGAGAGAGAUCGGUGCCUGUCCCUCUACUCUCUAUUGUGAGGAAGCCGUAGGCUGAAGUGAAGACUCCCUUAAGUAUUCUCUAGGCUAAACAAACCAAGAGGCUUCAGCUGCUCUGCUCUAGACCCUUCACCAUCUUUGUGGCCCUCCUUUGGUACUCAUAGUACUUUUAUGUCCUUUUUAUACUGUGGCGCUCAAAACUGCACACGGAACUUGAAGUGAGGCUGCACUGGUGCAAUGUAGACCAGGACAAUCGUUUCCCUCAACCAGCUGGCAAUGGUGUGCUUGAUGCACCCUGCGGCACUGUCAGCCUUUCCAGCUACCAGAUCACGCUGCUGAUUCAUGUUCAAAUUGUUGUUGACCAGUAUCCUCAAGUCCUUUUCAUCAGGGCUGCUCUCCAGCAUUUCAUUCACCAGUCUAUAUGCAUAAUCAGGGUUGCCCCUUCCUAGGUGCAGAAUGGAGCACUUGCUAUUGUUAAACUUCAUAUGGCUGAAGAUUGCCCUUUUAUUUGUCUCUUUUAUUUGUCUAGCUCUCUCUGCUACCUCUACACCUUUAGUGGAAUCGACAUUUUAGUAUCAUCAGAAAACUUGCUCAAAAUACCUGCUAGUCCUACAUCCAAGUCAAUUAUGAAAACAUUAAAGAAAACUGGCCCUAAAAUUGAGCCCUGGGAAACCCUCUAGUGACUGGCCAUCAGCCUGAUGUUUACGACACAGCCCCAUUUACUAUAACACUUUGAGCCUGAUCAUAGAAUCAUAUAAUAGAAUCAUAGAAUGGCCUGGGUUGAAAAGGACCAUAAUAAUCAUGGAGUUUCAACCCCCCUACUAUGUGCAGGGUUGCCAGUCACUAGAUCACUGAUCACUGAUCUGUCAGCCAAUUGCUCACCCAUCACAUUAUGUUUUUAUCUAGCCAUGUGUUAGACAUUUUGUCCAAAAGCAUACUGUGCAAAUCAGUUUCAUAAGCUUUACUGAAACCCAAAAAAAUAACCCUUGGUCAACAUGGAUAUAUGACCUUAUCAUAAAAGAUAAUUAAGACCUUGUCAUAAAAGAUAAUUAAGUAGCUAAACAGGACCUUCCCCUCAUGAAUCCUCAUUGGCUGUGAUCAGUGGCUGCAUUGACUUUCAGAUGUUUUUCAGUAACUCUCAGCAUAAUUUUCUCCAUCAUUUUACCAUGCACUGAAGUGAGACUGACAGGUUUAUAAUUAGCAGGGUCUAUUUUCCUUGCCUUUCUUGAAAAUCUGAACAUUUUCCAGCUUCCAGUCAACUGGCACCUCUCCAGAUUCCCAAGACUGUUGAAAAAUAAUUGAGAGAGGUUUCAUGGUGACAUUGGCCAGCUCUCUGAGUACCCUGGGACAGAUCUCAUCAGGGCCCCUGGACCUAUAUGCGUUCAUUUCCACAUUUUAUGGUAAUACUGUAAAUUCUUCUAUUUUUCCAUUUGAGGUACAAGGAAGAUCUCAUUCCUUUCAUGGAGCUUCCAAGCGUGUCUUAAGAAUAAAGAAAAAAAUGUGAGUUCUCAGGCAGCGGGAAUCACUUCCUCAGCCUACCUGUUUCUGAAGCAGACUCCUGGGUCUAGUGCUUUGAAAUAAAUACAGAUUUAAAGCACUGAAAAUCAGAAAAUAGUGACUGGAGAAGCAUGUCCACUGACAGCAAAGGCA